AUUGAACGCUGGCGGCAGGCCUAACACAUGCAAGUCGAGCGGAUGAAGGGAGCUUGCUCCUGGAUUCAGCGGCGGACGGGUGAGUAAUGCCUAGGAAUCUGCCUGGUAGUGGGGGAUAACGUCCGGAAACGGGCGCUAAUACCGCAUACGUCCUGAGGGAGAAAGUGGGGGAUCUUCGGACCUCACGCUAUCAGAUGAGCCUAGGUCUGAUUAGCUAGUUGGUGGGGUAAAGGCCUACCAAGGCGACGAUCCGUAACUGGUCUGAGAGGAUGAUCAGUCACACUGGAACUGAGACACGGUCCAGACUCCUACGGGAGGCAGCAGUGGGGAAUAUUGGACAAUGGGCGAAAGCCUGAUCCAGCCAUGCCGCGUGUGUGAAGAAGGUCUUCGGAUUGUAAAGCACUUUUAGUUGGGAGGAAGGGCAGUAAGUUAAUACCUUGCUGUUUUGACGUUACCAACAGAAUAAGCACCGGCUAACUUCGUG
rnacentral:rRNA from 1 species